UGCCUGUUUAUCAAAAACAUGUCUGUGUGAAUUAGUUAUAAAGUCUAGCCUGCCCACUGAAAAUUUUAAAGGGCCGCGGUAAUUUGACCGUGCGAAGGUAGCAUAGUCAGUAGUCUUUUAAUUGGAGGCUUGAAUGAAUGGUUGGACGAGAAGUAGACUGUCUCUUUUAUAUAGUUUGAAUUUAACUUUUAAGUGAAAAGGCUUAAAUUAUUUAAUGGGACGAUAAGACCCUAUAAAACUUAAUAUAAGUUUAGUUUAAUUUGUGAUUUAAGUGAAGAGCAAUUUUGUUAAAUUUAUAUUUUGUUGGGGAGGUGUAGAUAUAAAGUGUAACUGUCUAUUGAAUUUAAUAACGAUAAUUAAUUUUUGACCCUUCUGUGGGGAUUAGAAGAGUAAGUUACUUUAGGGAUAACAGCGUGAUUUUCCUUGAGAGUUCUUAUCGACAGGAGUAGUUGCGACCUCGAUGUUGAAUUAAAAUUUUUAGCUAGGUGUAGCCGUUUAGCUGGUAGGUCUGUUCGACCUUUAAAAUUUUACAUGAUUUGAGUUCAAACCGGUGUGAGCCAGGUUGGUUUCUAUCA
rnacentral:rRNA from 1 species